AUUGAACGCUGGCGGCAGGCUUAACACAUGCAAGUCGAGCGAGCGGCGGACGGGUGAGUAAUGUCUGGGAAACUGCCUGAUGGAGGGGGAUAACUACUGGAAACGGUAGCUAAUACCGCAUACCAUCAGAUGUGCCCAGAUGGGCUUAGCUAGUAGGUGGGGUAAUGGCUAACCUAGGCGACGAUACCUAGCUGGUCUGAGAGGAUGACCAGACACACUGAGACUGAGCAAGGAUACAUACUCCUACAUGAGGCAGCAGUGGGGAAUAUUGCACAAUGGGCGCAAGCGUGAUGCGGUCAUGCCGCGUGGGUGAAGAUGGCCUUCGGGUUGUAAAGCACUUUCAGCGAGGAGGCGGUACUCGCAGAAGAAGCACCGGCUAAAUCAGUGCCAGCAGCCACGGUAAUUC
rnacentral:rRNA from 1 species